CUACGGAGGGGACUAGCGUUGUUCGGAAUUACUGGGCGUAAAGCGUACGCAGGCGGAUUGUUAAGUUAGAGGUGAAAUCCCAGGGCUCAACCCUGGAACUGCCUUUAAAACUGGCAAUCUAGAGUUAUGGAGAGGUAAGUGGAAUUCCUAGUGUAGAGGUGAAAUUCGUAGAUAUUAGGAGGAACACCAGAGGCGAAGGCGGCUUACUGGACAUAUACUGACGCUGAGGUACGAAAGUGUGGGGAGCGAACGGGAUUAGAAACCCUAGUAGUCC
rnacentral:rRNA from 1 species